rnacentral:tRNA from 1 species
GGAGAGAUGGCUCAGUGGUUAAGAGCACUGACUGCUCUUCCAGAGGACCUGGGUUCAAGUCCCAGCCCCCAUG